UGCAAUCCUUGACUUUCAGGAAUUGUGCAU
rnacentral:piRNA from 1 species